CCUACGGGAGGCAGCAGUGGGGGAUAUUGCACAAUGGGGGAAACCCUGAUGCAGCGACGCCGCGUGGGUGAAGAAGCGCCUCGGCGCGUAAAGCCCUGUCAGCCGGGAAGAAAAUGACGGUACCUGAAGAAGAAGCCCCGGCUAACUACGGUCCAGCAGCCGCGGUAAUACGUAGGGGGCAAGCGUUAUCCGGAUUUACUGGGUGUAAAGGGGGCGCAGACGGCGGUGCAAGCCAGGAGUGAAAGCCCGGGGCCCAACCCCGGGACUGCUCUUGGAACUGCGUGGCUAGAGUGCAGGAGGGGCAGGCGGAAUUCCUGGUGUAGCGGUGAAAUGCGUAGAUAUCAGGAGGAACACCGGUGGCGAAGGCGGCCUGCUGGACUGCAACUGACGUUGAGGCCCGAAAGCGUGGGGAGCAAACAGGAUUAGAUACCCUUGUAGUC
rnacentral:rRNA from 1 species